rnacentral:rRNA from 1 species
UCCUAGUGAUUAGAGUUUGAUCAUGGCUCAGAACGUACGCUGGCGGCACGCCUAACACAUGCAAGUCGAACGAAGUAGCAAUACUUAGUGGCAGACGGGUGAGUAACAUGUAGGUAUCUGCCCUUUGGCCUGGAAUAACACGAGGAAACUUGUGCUAAUACCGGAUAAGUCUUUACGGAGAAAGCUUUAUGCACCAUUGGAGGAGCCUGCACUUGAUUAGUUUGUUGGUGGGGUAAUGGCCUACCAAGACUGUGAUCAAUAGCUGAUUUGAGAGGAUGAUCAGCCACAUUGGGACUGAGACACGGCCCAAACUCCUACGGGAGGCAGCAGUGGGGAAUCUUGCACAAUGGAGGAAACUCUGAUGCAGCGAUGCCGCGUGAGUGAAGAAGGCCUUUGGGUUGUAAAGCUCUUUCGUCGGGGAAGAAAAUGACUGUACCCGAAUAAGAAGGUCCGGCUAACUUCGUGCCAGCAGCCGCGGUAAUACGAAGGGACCUAGCGUAGUUCGGAAUUACUGGGCUUAAAGAGUUCGUAGGUGGUUGAAAAAGUUGGUGGUGAAAUCCCAGAGCUUAACUCUGGAACUGCCAUCAAAACUUUUCAGCUAGAGUAUGAUAGAGGAAAGCAGAAUUUCUAGUGUAGAGGUGAAAUUCGUAGAUAUUAGAAAGAAUACCAAUUGCGAAGGCAGCUUUCUGGAUCAUUACUGACACUGAGGAACGAAAGCAUGGGUAGCGAAGAGGAUUAGAUACCCUCGUAGUCCAUGCCGUAAACGAUGUGUGUUAGACGUUGGAAAUUUAUUUUCAGUGUCGCAGCGAAAGCGAUAAACACACCGCCUGGGGAGUACGACCGCAAGGUUAAAACUCAAAUGAAUUGACGGGGACCCGCACAAGUAGUGGAGCAUGUGGUUUAAUUCGAAGAUACGCGCAGAACCUUACCAACACUUGACAUGUUCGUCGCGACUCUAAGAGACUAGAGUUUUCGGUUCGGCCGGACGAAACACAGGUGCUGCAUGGCUGUCGUCAGCUCGUGUCGUGAGAUGUUGGGUUAAGUCCCGCAGCGAGCGCAACCCUCACUUUUAGUUGCCAUCAUUUAGUUGGGCACUCUGAAAGAACUGCCAGUGAUAAGCUGGAGGAAGGUGGGGAUGACGUCAAGUCCUCAUGGCCCUUACGUGUUGGGCUACACACGUGCUACAAUGGUAUCUACAACAGGAAGCAAGACUGCGAGGUCAAGCAAAUCCUUAAAAGAUACCUCAGUUCGGAUUGCACUCUGCAACUCGAGUGCAUGAAGCUGGAAUUACUAGUAAUCGUGGAUCAGCGUGCCACGGUGAAUGCGUUCCCGGGUCUGUAGAC